rnacentral:rRNA from 1 species
ACACUGACGUCGCGACGCAUAUCAAUAAGCGGAGGAAAAGCGUCUACCUACGCUUAGGAUGUUGAGUAGCGACAUACGCACGUGCUCGGCCUCUAUACAUGACUCUGUGCAUAUCAAUAAGCGGAGGAAAAGAAACUAACAAGGAUUCCCCUAGUAACGGCGAGUGAAGCGGGAAGAGCUCAACAUAAAAUUUGAAAUCUUAAAGGUUUUACCUUGACGAAUUGUAGUUUAAAGAAGUGUUUUCUGUUGGAGUUUUGGUAAAAGUUCUUUGAAAUAGGACAUCAUAGAGGGUGAGAAUCCCGUAUUUGACCAUUAUUUCCAGCUGUGUGAUACACUUUCAAAGAGUCGGAUUGUUUGGGAAUGCAGUCCAAAAUGGGUGGUAAAUUUCAUCUAAAGCUAAAUAUUGGCGAGAGACCGAUAGCGAACAAGUACCGUGAGGGAAAGAUGAAAAGAACUUUGAAAAGAGAGUUAAACAGUACGUGAAAUUGUCAAAAGGGAAGCGUUUGACACCAGUGUUGUUUUCUCGAAAAUCAAUUAAAAAUGGUGGGAUGUUGUGUUGUAUUGACUUUAUCAGCUUUCUGCACUUUUUUCCUAUCUUUUUUAAUGCACUUUUCGUUUAACAAGUCAACAUCAAUUUCUUUUGUUGUAAAAGAGUCAUUGGAAGGUGGCUUUCUUUUCGGAAAAAGUGUUUAUAGCCUUUGGCUUCUGCAAUCGGAGAGAUUGAGGUCUGCAGCGUAGAUCCUUCGGGGUUAGAUACGUUUGUGCUAAGUUAUAGCUUUGUAUAGACAACAUGUUGACUAUGCUUAGUCUUGUAGCUUACUCGCAGAUAGUAUUUUACCUACGCUUAGGAUGUUGAGUAGCGACAUACGCAC